rnacentral:rRNA from 1 species
UACGGAGGGUGCAAGCGUUUGUCCGGAUUUAUUGGGUUUAAAGGGUGCGCAGGUGGGUAUUUAAGUCUGGUUUGAAAGCAGGUGGCUCAACCAUCUGAUGUGGCUGGAAACUGGAUAUCUUGAAUGGGUUGGCGGUAGCCGGAAUGGGUCAUGUAGCGGUGAAAUGCAUAGAUAUGACCCGGAACACCGAUUGCGAAGGCAGGCUACUACGACUUGAUUGACACUGAGGCACGAGAGCAUGGGUAGCGAACAGG